UACGUAGGGGGCAAGCGUUACCCGGAUUCACUGGGCGUAAAGCGCGUGUAGGCGGCUGGCCAAGCGUGGUGUGAAAUCUCCGGGCUCAACCCGGAAACUGCACUGCGAACUGGCCUGGCUGGAGUGCAGGAGAGGGAUGCGGAAUUCACGGUGUAGCGGUGAAAUGCGUAGAUAUCGCUAGGAACGCCGGUGGCGAAGGCGGGAAGCUGGGCCGAUCCUGACGCUGAGGCGCGAAAGCUAGGGGAGCGAACCGG
rnacentral:rRNA from 1 species